rnacentral:misc_RNA from 1 species
GUAACAAGGUUUCCGUAGGUGAACCUGCGGAAGGAUCAUUGUCGAAGCCUGCUCAAUAGAACGACCCGUGAACUUGUCAUUUACUUUCCAGGGAGGCAACGCAUGGACAAUGCAAUGUCGUCCCUGCCUUGGGUUCACGCUCUACCGAUUUCCUGGUCUCGUGCCUUGUACGUAUGUGGCUUCGGUCAUCGGCAUGUGUUGUGGCACCCAAAUAAAACAAUCACCCCGGCGCGAUCGGCGCCAAGGAACAUAAACGAAAUUAACAUGCCCUUGCCACCGCCCCAAACACGGGGAGUGUGUGGUUGGGUGUCAUGUCUUCGAAUCUUAAAACGACUCUCGGCAACGGAUAUCUCGGCUCUCGCAUCGAUGAAGAACGUAGCGAAAUGCGAUACUUGGUGUGAAUUGCAGAAUCCCGUGAACCAUCGAGUCUUUGAACGCAAGUUGCGCCCUAGGCCUUAUGGUUGAGGGCACGUCUGCCUGGGCGUCACGCAUUGCGACACUCCGACCCAAAUGCUAGAUAUAACGUUUGGACACGGAGUGGAGAUUGGCUUCCCGUGCUCUCUAUUGCGCGGUUGGCCUAAAAGCUGGCCCUUGGUGGUGAGCCUCACGAUGAUUGGUGGUUGAUCAAAACCCCUUGCCAUUGCUGGACAUCGUGUUUGUUGCUGUGCCGUCCUCGGAGCUUUCGAUACCCCUAUCGGAGCGUUGUCGUAACGACGAUGCUCACACUGCGACCCCA